UGCUCAUGUUGAUCAUGGCAAGUCUACGCUUGCUAACAGGCUUUUAGAGCUCACUGGAACCAUUAAGAGAGGCCAUGGUCAGCCUUAGUACCUUGACAAGUUGCAGUGCCAUAAUGGACAUACAUUGGGCCCACUUGUAGACAAGAGCUUGGAGAUGGGAAGGCACCCCUAGAAGCAUUUGGGAUAGCCAUAGGAAGGAUUACAUUGGAGCUAUCAAUUUUGUCCAUGUUCCCAUAUUCCUAUAAGCAACAUACAUAUAGAGUAAGGAAAGGAGAGCCAACAAUUAAUUGCAUGCGUGUUUGUGAUUUUGACAUGAAAUUCACAUUUGCUUGUGUUGGAUGGGAAGAGUCAACACACGAAUAUUUUUACACGAAUAUUUUUAAGUUGCCUCAAUAAUGAGAGUGAUAACUUCCCUAAAUCGCCAACUGGUUUGUAUUGUUAAUUUUAUUAACUAUUAGAAUA